GCGACCCCAGGUCAGGCGGGACUACCCGCUGAGUUUAAGCAUAUCAAUAAGCGGANGAAAAGAAACUAACAAGGAUUCCCUUAGUAACGGCGAGCGAACCGGGAA
rnacentral:rRNA from 1 species